GUGAUCUCUCCUGUUUAAUCAGCUCACACAAAAAUCUGAUAUUACCCCCCAUCCAUCACCAGCUAGCAAAAGUGUACAAGAUAAAGCAUCCCCGUAAAGUGGAGGCCGCUCCAAAUGAGCCCAUCUUGAGGUUUGGUAUCCUUACGAGCCAUAGUGUUUCGCCUUCUUAGUGGACGGUGCGCAACAAGGGUGUCAGUCAGUUUGUUCAUGUAAAUGUUCACCCUCUAGUUCUCCAUCCAUUCACUUUUUGCAUAUUCUCUACGUCUUGCAGGAACUGUCUCCUGAUGUGUGUUCUCAACUUGUGCAAAGAGCUACUGGAUGGCAUCCCCAAAGUUGUUGCAUGAACACCGUCAAGAUGGCUAUCUGGGCCAAGGUAUGCAUGCAAAUGAUUAAUUUCUCACUAUUUUAGGUGCAGGAUGAAAGAGGAAUGAUGCCAUCAUGAACUCUAACUCAAGUGGCAUGAAGAACGAAUACAACACAUUUUUGAAUUGAUGGUCCACCAUAACAGAAGCUUCACAAGGCAUUGUAGUCAUUGACAAAGAAUGAUAUGCACUCAAAUACAAGGACUUAUAAUGUUGUCCCAUGGCCGAAGAUUAUGAAGAAAAAAAGACACUUUUGUAGUUAGACAUGAAUGACUACAAUGCUUGUCUAGAGAGUGUUUUUCGUUCAUAAUUUUUAAUGGUAUUUUUAACUUCAACAUUGCAUCAUGUUCAACAUAUGUGUUUUUGAUUAAUGAAAACAGGUUGUGAUACAUUGACUAUUCAAAUUAUUUUGGUUCUUAAUUGGUGUGGUUGAUAAUAGUCAAAAGUUACAAGUAACAUAAAAUAAUAUUUGUAAAAGUUAAGAUUGGUUGUUACAGGCAAGAAAAAUGGUGAGAUGGAUGGUCAUUGACAAUAUAAAGUGGUAAUUAUUAAUAUUUUAAUAACCAUGAAAUGUUUCAAACGAUGGGAUAAGUGGUCGCUAGUACACGAAUUGUUGUCGUUAUUUUCUCACAAUUAACGACAACACAUUGUCCCAUCGUUAUAAAAUAACGACGGGAAAAUGUGGUAGUUAUACUUUUAACGACGGAGCCUACUACGGCCACAAAGAUGUGGUCAUUAGUGACUUUCAACGACCGCAUUCUCACUUUUAACGACCACAUAUCCCGUCGUUAAAAAUCAUUUUCCUAGUAGUGUAA